rnacentral:rRNA from 1 species
CCUUGAGCUGAGGCACGAUCCAGAAAUUACCUGACUGUCAUAUUCCCAAGAAAAGCUCGUAGUACUGUACAUCAGAAAGUACCUGUACCGUAAACCGACACAGGUAGGUUGGUAGAGAAUACCAAGGGGAGCGAGAUAACUCUCUCUAAGGAACUCGGCAAAAUGACCCCGUAACUUCGGGAGAAGGGGUGCCCUCCACUAAGGAGGGCCGCAGUGACCAGGCCCUGGCGACUGUUUAUCAAAAACAUAGGUCUCCGCAAAGUCGUAAGACAACAUAUGGGGGCUGACGCCUGCCCAGUGCCGGAAGGUUAAGGAAGUUGGUUAUUUUUUCUUAGGAAGGAAGAAGCUGACGACCGAAGCCCCGGUGAACGGCGGCCGUAACGAUAACGGUCCUAAGGUAGCGAAAUUCCUUGUCGGGUAAGUUCCGACCCGCACGAAAGGCGUAACGAUCAGGGCGCUGUCUCGGAGAGAGACUCGGUGAAAUAGACAUGUCUGUGAAGAUGCGGACUACCUGCACUUGGACAGAAAGACCCUAUGAAGCUUGACUGUAGCUUGGAAUUGGGUUCGGGCUCUUCUUGCGCAGCCUAGGUGGGAGGCGUUGAAAGUUUUCUCUUGGGAAAACUGGAGCCAUCAGUGAGAGACCACUCUGGAGGAGCUAGAAUUCUAAUGGCGUUCCUUGAAGCAGGACGCUUGACAGUUUCAGGUGGGCAGUUUGACUGGGGCGGUCACCUCCUAAAAGGUAACGGAGGUGUGCAAAGGUUCCCUCAGGCUGGACGGAAAUCAGCCGUAGAGUGUAAAGGCAGAAGGGAGCUUGACUGCAAGACCUACAAGUCGAGCAGGGGCGAAAGCCGGCCUUAGUGAUCCGACGGUUCCGCGUGGAAGGGCCGUCGCUCAACGGAUAAAAGUUACUCUAGGAUAACAGGCUGAUCUUCCCCAAGAGUUCACAUCGACGGGAAGGUUUGGCACCUCGAUGUCGGCUCAUCGCAACCUGGGGCGGUAGUACGUCCCAAGGGUUGGGCUGUUCGCCCAUGAAAGCGGUACGUGAGCUGGGUUCAGAACGUCGUGAGACAGUUCGGUCCAUAUCCGGUGUAGGCGUUAGAGUAUUGAGAGGAGCCUUCCAUAGUACGAGAGGACCUGGAAGGGCACACCUCUGGUGUACCAGUUCUCGUGCCAACGGGAAACGCUGGGUAGCCAUGUGUGAUGUGAUAACCGCUGAAAGCAUCUAAGCGGGAAGCCAACCUCAAGAUGAAUGCUCUCCAUUAGGUCACAGCAAGAUAAGCUGGUUGAUAGGCUUCAGGUGUAAGCGUUGUAAGGCGUUCAGCCGAGAAGUACUAAUAGACCGAUUGAUUUUGACC